rnacentral:rRNA from 1 species
AGUGGCAGACGGGUGAGUAACAUGUGGGUAUCUACCCUUUGGCCUGGAAUAACACGAGGAAACUUGUGCUAAUACCGGAUAAGUCUUUACGGAGAAAGCUUUAUGCACCAUUGGAUGAGCCCGCACUUGAUUAGUUUGUUGGUAGGGUAAUGGCCUACCAAGACUAUGAUCAAUAGCUGAUUUGAGGGGAUGAUCAGCCACAUUGGGACUGAGACACGGCCCAAACUCCUACGGGAGGCAGCAGUGGGGAAUCUUGCACAAUGGAGGAAACUCUGAUGCAGCGAUGCCGCGUGAGUGAAGAAGGCCUUUGGGUUGUAAAGCUCUUUCGUCGGGGAAGAAAAUGACUGUACCCGAAUAAGAAGGUCCGGCUAACUUCGUGCCAGCAGCCGCGGUAAUACGAAGGGACCUAGCGUAGUUCGGAAUUACUGGGCUUAAAGAGUUCGUAGGUGGUUGAAAAAGUUGGUGGUGAAAUCCCAGAGCUUAACUCUGGAACUGCCAUCAAAACUUUUCAGCUAGAGUAUGAUAGAGGAAAGCAGAAUUUCUAGUGUAGAGGUGAAAUUCGUAGAUAUUAGAAAGAAUACCAAUUGCGAACGCAGCUUUCUGGAUCAUUACUGACACUGAUGACGAAGCAUGGGUAGCGAAGAGGAAUAGAUACCCUCGUAGUCCAUGCGA